rnacentral:ncRNA from 14 species
GCCGAUGAUGAGUGGCUUCGGGUCCGAGGGGUGAGGACACCAGCUAUCGCUGAGG